UGGAAUAAAAGAGAACACAAAACAAUAAUUUCACAUUAUUAUUACAAUAUACUUUGGGUAUUUAGAUUAUAGCAUGUUGUAUAAUAUAUCAUGUAUUUUAUCAUUAUUUAUCAUUUCCCUGCAAGCGGCUGGCCACUGCUGAUUAGCUACCUGCACACUAAAAAAAAUUUUUUUAAAGUUAUAGUGGUAAUUUUUACUACCCUCUAACUAUAUGGAGAUAUAAAAAUUCCCUUAUUCCCCCACAUGGAUGAGGACACAUUUGCUAAACGAUGAGCAGCUACUGACUGUUGCUUAGAUUUCUGACUGGACCUGAUAGGCCACUGUCAGCAUCCAGCAUGUUGGCUUUGACUUUGAAGGAGUGCCAAGUCUGAGCCAGCAAGGAGAUCGAACGUUCACCUUGCCCAGACUUGCACCGCUCAGUAUACUGAGGUAGCAUGUGGUCUGGACUUCAGUCAAUAGUUGUAACGUGAAUAUAACCCAACACGCAGGAUUCAGCUAAACAGAGACAACACAGAGGAGAGAUACGUCUACCGGACCUUAGAAUGGCCGGACUCGACGUAUAUGAGAGGAGGCAGAGUCAGGAACGAUCCGAAGUCAAGGGCACAGAGAGACAGCGUAAACUAGGACAAGCCGGGGUCUGGUACACAGUAAACAGUAAGCCGACAACCAGAACAGAUAAGAAUAAAGAGAAAACGUAGUCAGAAACAAAGCCAAAGUCAAUACGGAGAAAUACAAGUGAACACAACACGCGCUAAAGGGAACUGAUACAGAAACCACGAUAGGGCAGGGAGUAAAUGGAGAGGUAAGCUUAAAUAGCCUCUCUACUAAUGUGAUUGGCUCCUGUCAUAUCCACACCCCCAAAAGGUAAGUGUAUGGGGAGUGUGGCAUGACAGGGGCCAAUGGGAGCCUUUUAACAAUUUAGGCUCCCACUGUC